rnacentral:rRNA from 1 species
GGCUCAGAUUGAACGCUGGCGGCAGGCCUAACACAUGCAAGUCGAGCGGUAGCACAAGAGAGCUUGCUCUCUGGGUGACGAGCGGCGGACGGGUGAGUAAUGUCUGGGAAACUGCCUGAUGGCGGGGGAUAACUAGUGGAAACGGUAGCUAAUACCGCAUAACGUCGCAAGACCAAAGUGGGGGACCUUCGGGCCUCACGCCAUCAGAUGUGCCCAGGUGGGAUUAGCUGGUAGGUGGGGUAACGGCUCACCUAGGCGACGAUCCCUAGCUGGUCUGAGAGGAUGACCAGCCACACUGGAACUGAGACACGGUCCAGACUCCUACGGGAGGCAGCAGUGGGGAAUAUUGCACAAUGGGCGCAAGCCUGAUGCAGCCAUGCCGCGUGUGUGAAGAAGGCCUUCGGGUUGUAAAGCACUUUCAGCGAGGAGGAAGGGUAAUGUGUUAAUAGGACAUUGC